UACGUAGGGUGCAAGCGUUAAUCGGAAUUACUGGGCGUAAAGCGUGCGCAGGCGGUUUUGUAAGUCUGUCGUGAAAUCCCCGGGCUCAACCUGGGAAUUGCGAUGGAGACUGCAAGGCUAGAAUCUGGCAGAGGGGGGUAGAAUUCCACGUGUAGCAGUGAAAUGCGUAGAGAUGUGGAGGAACACCGAUGGCGAAGGCAGCCCCCUGGGUCAAGAUUGACGCUCAUGCACAAAAGCGUGGGGAGCAAACAGG
rnacentral:rRNA from 1 species